rnacentral:misc_RNA from 1 species
GAAAUGCGAUAAUUAAUGUGAAUUGCAGAAUUCAGUGAAUCAUCGAGUCUUUUAACGCACAUUGCGCCCCCUGGUAUUCCGGGGGGCAUGCCUGUCCGAGCGUCAUUGCUGCCCUCAAGCACGGCUUGUGUGUUGGGCUUCCGUCCCUGGCAACGGGGACGGGCCCAAAAGGCAGUGGCGGCACCAUGUCUGGUCCUCGAGCGUAUGGGGCUUUGUCACCCGCUCCCGUAGGUCCAGCUGGCAGCUAGCCUCGCAACCAAUCUUUUUAACCAGGUUGACCUCGGAUCAGGUAGGGAUACCCGCUGAACUUAAGC